ACGUAGGGGGCAAGCGUUGUCCGGAAUCAUUGGGCGUAAAGCGCGUGUAGGCGGUCCGGUAAGUCGGCUGUGAAAGUCCAGGGCUCAACCCUGGGAUGCCGGUCGAUACUGCCGGACUAGAGUUCGGAAGAGGCGAGUGGAAUUCCCGGUGUAGCGGUGAAAUGCGCAGAUAUCGAGAGGAACACCAAUGGCGAAGGCAGGUCUCUGGGCCACUACUGACGCUGAGAAGCGAAAGCAUGGGGAGCGAACAGGA
rnacentral:rRNA from 1 species